UCGAAGAAGAAGAGGAAGCAGAAGAUAAAAACGAACAUGAAGCAGAUAGUACGUUUGAAUAUGUUUUUAUGCCAACCGAUAGUCAAAUUAAGACGAAAAUGAUUUCACUUGACCAGGAGUUUGUUUAAUAAUAAUAAGUCUGUUUUAUCUAAGAAUAGAAGCGGAGCUGCUGUCAGCGUUGCUAAAGUUGUUUCUGCCUGUUACGCGACAUGUUACUACGAGCCGAGAGAAGCAAAACGAGUCGGUUUUAUCAACACCUCCUACGUUACUUUAUGCUGGUUACCAACUCAAUUAUUCGAAGGAUGUCGUCCGCUCUCCACCGGCAUGUCAGAUGGACUGGUGGCCUUCACCCCCUGGCUCUGUUAGAGAGCAGAAUCCCUGGCAGCCCAUGAGGAAGCAUCUUCCACCUGCAGGAGCCGGAGUUCUUGUCCUUGCUGCUGGGGAUCUGUGUCCUCCCCUGUACAUGGCCUGGAUGUGGAUUGGAAGAAAAAGGGGACUAUGAAGGACUGGUGCUGGUGAACAGGACGGCGUCACAGCUUCUUGAGGAGGGGCUGGGUGCAGGACUCCUUUUUGAGGGGAUUGAGAUUGACUGUGCUCACGCCAAGCUGAUACCA